rnacentral:rRNA from 1 species
CCGGCGACCGGCGGACGGGUGCGUAACGCGUAUGCAACCUACCUUUGACAGGGGGAUAACAUCGAGAAAUUGGUACUAAUACCCCAUAACAUCACCGGAGGCAUCUUCGGUGGUUGAAAACUCAGGUGGUCAGAGAUGGACAUGCGUUGUAUUAGCUAGUUGGUGAGGUAACGGCUCACCAAGGCGACGAUACAUAGGGGGACUGAGAGGUCAACCCCCCACAUUGGUACUGAGGCACGGACCAAACUCCUACGGAAGGCAGCAG